UACUCUGAUUCUUGGUGAGAAGCAGGGA
rnacentral:piRNA from 1 species